rnacentral:lncRNA from 1 species
UUGGCACUUUUGGCGGCAAUUGUGCCAUAUAUAUAGAAACUCACAAAAACCAAAAUUCCACCAAACUAGAUCUAAAAUUCAGCAAGCUAAACGAUCAGAUCAGGAUUCACACGAUGAAGGUACCAAUGCAAGAAGAAGUAUAUAUAUAUAUAUAUACAAUCAAAAUUCUGCAAUUACGUGUAGAAAUGUAGAGGGUUUCUUCUGGUUUUGGUGGGAAGGAGGAGGGAGGUGGUGGGUCACAUGGAGGAGGAUUAUGACAGCUAGCAACAGGCUGUGACACAACGGUUUCACUGGGAAAAAGAUUACAAGGGUAGUUAAUUUAAAAACCGGCGGAAAUCAGAAUCAGCCCACCACGUGCCGAUGUAACUGAGCUUCCUCCAUUCUUAAAUCCUAUCUUGUUCGAUAAUAUUUCAUUAUUU